UACAGAGGUCUCAAGCGUUGUUCGGAUUCAUUGGGCGUAAAGGGUGCGUAGGCGGCGCGGUAAGUCGGGUGUGAAAUCUUGGAGCUUAACUCCGAAACUGCAUUCGAUACUGCCGUGCUUGAGGACUGGAGAGGAGACUGGAAUUUACGGUGUAGCGGUGAAAUGCGUAGAUAUCGUAAGGAAGACCAGUGGCGAAGGCGGGUCUCUGGACAGUUCCUGACGUGAGGCACGAAGGCCGGGGAGCAAACGGG
rnacentral:rRNA from 1 species